AACAAAACAGCAUAUCCAAAAACGUGGGGGGAUGCUAAAGAAGAACACUGCCCCUGCAUGGCACAACUCACAGCAACAUAGUUAAGCUUGCUAGCGUUCGUUGGUGGAUAUUCCUGCCCUGCAAUUCUUAUCUGGAUAACAGAAAGAGCCGUGUCUGGAUCAAGGAGAUAAGGAAGUUCCGCUGAGUCUUUGCACCAAGGAAACAGGAGGUCCUGCUUGGAAUCGAUCACUGAAUAUGUAACACGCUUCUGGGAAACUUCUGCAUAUGUAACACAAGUAAUGCAUAUAAACUGAAGAUCUUUUGUGUAAGCUGUGCAUAAUAGCAGGAUUACUCUUAUGCAUCCACUGUUGACAUUGAAGAACAUCUGCUUUAUAACACUCUAACACGAGCCUUAGAGAGUUUCACACCCAACUGUCUUAGGGCAUCAUGUGCUUUGAGUUCUCUGAUGCUUUUGUCUGAGACUUUGUAGCAGAAACGCCAAGUCAUGGCCUGAAGCAGUGAUGGAGCACCUGGUGGGAAGGCAGGGCCAGCCCAGGGGAGCUCAGGUGCGAGCAAUGCAUUGAGUAACCAGAGGGGCUGGAGCCAGGAACCUCCCCUUCCCACCCCUCAUUUAAGGGCUGGCAGUGGAGGUGAGGGUAGCUCUCUGGAGAUCCCUGCUUACCUGAAGUUUUCUGAAGCAAAAAGAAGACCUUAGAUCUGAGUAGCUACAGAAGACUGCCUGCCUCCUUCCACAACCACUUGAGCUGGAAGAGUUCUGUACCAAUGACACACCUUAAAUGCAAGUAUUUGUCUAAUUCUGAAUUGAAGGGGCAGGGGAGCCUGCAGCCUCCUCUUGUGAUUUUGAUAAGGCUGGCACUGGGAGCGAUUGUUUGAGAAUGCAGAACCUGCAGAGCACAGUACUGGUGCUGUGGGCACACCCUGUCAGAACACCUUUAGCUGGAGGAGAGCAUCCACUAGUUGUGCUCCAUCCUGAGGAGAGCAGUAACCGUGCUUUGCAUCACUGCAUGACAUCGCAUGCGCAAAGCGUGGUCAGCUGGGAGGUGAGUUCCAAAAAUAUGCUCAGAAAAUGAGACAUGGCACUGACAGAGACACAUUCCCUCCUUAACAGUAGCUCCAGUCAGAGCAGGUGCCUGAGGAACUGAACUUCAGGUGGACUGAAGUUGUGUAGGACCUGUUGAGGGAGCACAGCAAGACCUCGGCACAGCCUUCUGUCUUGGGAAGGGCUGCGGCUCUGAAGGAGAAGUUCCUUCUCUGCUGCCUGUCCCAGUCACACUAUAGAGCGCCCAGGGACAACAGAGCAGCCACGUUGCUAGCUGCUCCAGAGAUCUCCUGGGCACGUGGAUGUGGCUGCACCAUUCAGCCAGGGAAACCUUUGGGGAAGUUCUCAGCCUGCACUUCCCACGGUGACCCGAGGUUGUUCUGUUCCUAAGUACGAACGAGCGACGCGUUAUGGUCAUCCUGUACUCACACACCCACGCUCGCAGAGACCCAGAAAGGCUUCAGCCUGAGCGUGGCUCCUUCAGGCAGCCCAGAGGAGAGCAGCACAAGGGGCCCGCAGCUCCCAGCAGCCGAACGCCUCCGUAACAGCUGUGGCAGCUGCCGCUCCGAUCCCCGUGGGAGGCAGAACCGAGGUCUGUGCGCUCCCGUGGCUGGAGCCUCCUGCUAGUAUUUCCUAACGGGAGCGCGCUGUUGCACAACGGCAUCCAUGAGCAGGAAGGGCUCUUCUCGUUUCACGGGGAGCUGCCAACGCGCUGACGGACGCCGCCUGCACCGUCCCCAUCAGCCGCAGCGUUUCUCUCUCCCCGUCUGUUCCGGCCCCGCUCCCCUUUUCCCGCAG